rnacentral:rRNA from 1 species
AAUAGAUACCCCGGUAGUCCCAGCCGUAAACGAUGCUCGCUAGGUGUCAGGCAUGGCGCGACCGUGUUUGGUGCCGCAGGGAAGCCGUGAAGCGAGCCACCUGGGAAGUACGGCCGCAAGGCUGAAAACUUAAAGGAAUUGGCGGGGGAGCACAACAACGGGUGGAGCCUGCGGUUUAAUUGGACUCAACGCCGGACAACUCACCGGGGGACGACAGCAAUAUGUAGGUCAGGCUGAAGACCUUACCUGAAUCGCUGAGAGGAGGUGCAUGGCCGUCGCCAGUUCGUACUGUGAAGCAUCCUGUUAAGUCAGGCAACGAGCGAGACCCGUGCCCACUGUUACCAGCAUAUCCUCCGGGAUGAUGGGUACUCUGUGGGGACCGCCGGUGUUAAAUCGGAGGAAGGUGCGGGGCCACGGUAGGUCAGUAUGCCCCGAAUUUCCCGGGCUACACGCGGGCUACAAUGAAUGGGACAAUGGGUCCCUCCCUGAAAAGGGCUGGUAAUCUCACAAACCCAUCCUUAGUUCGGAUCGAGGGCUGUAACUCGCCCUCGU